GCUUGAUGGUGUAUAUUAGAGUGAGAGUCUGAGAGACAGUGGGAGGCCGAUUGAGAGAUUGAGAACGAGAGAGAGAGAUCAAAGUGUGCAGCGGAGGAGAGAAGAGUGGCCGAAUUCCACAUGCAACACUAGAGUCUAACCAAGGAUUUAAUUGGCGUCCUAACUUACCAAGAAGAAACCAAGAGCAAGGUACCCGCACAGGAGAGCAGGCGGAAGGGCCCAGUUCAUCCAAAGGAAAAGAGAAGCUGGUGGAAGCUUAGCUAAGGUGGAAGGAAAGAAGAGCUUAGUGUUUAGUUAGUUAAUUAAUCCAGAAUGUUUUUGUGUUUGUUUCCCCCUUCCUUUUGUGAUGCUUAUAUUUCAUUUGGUGAGGUUAUGUAAUUUCCACUCAUGGGAUGUAUGUACCUCCAUAAGGAGUGGUGUUUUGGGGGUAACUUAGCAUAACUGGGUACUUAGCAUACAUAUAUGCAUAUAUUAAUGACCUAUCUAUAGUAUGAAUGGUUUAGGAUUUACCAAGUA